GAUGAACGCUAGCGGCAGGCCUAAUACAUGCAAGUCGAACGGUGUCUUCGGACAUAGUGGCGCACGGGUGCGUAACACGUAUGCAACCUACCUUACAUUGGGGGAUAGCCUUUCGAAAGGGAGAUUAAUACCGCAUAAGACAGUAGCUGGGCAUCCAGCAGCUGUUAAAGAUUUAUCGAUGUAAGCUGGGCAUGCGUCCAAUUAGCUAGUUGGUGAGGUAACGGCUCACCAAGGCAAUGAUUGGUAGGGGAACUGAGAGGUCAAUCCCCCACCCUGGCACUGGGAUACGGGCCAGCCCCCUACGGGAGGCAGCAGUAGGGAAUAUUGGGCAAUGGACGCAAGUCUGACCCAGCCAUGCCGCGUGCAGGAUGAAGGCGUUAUGCGUUGUAAACUGCUUUUAUACAGGAAGAAACGACUCUUGCGAGAGGCAUUGACGGUACUGUAUGAAUAAGCACCGGCUAACUCCGUGCCAGCAGCCGCCGUAAUAC
rnacentral:rRNA from 1 species